AGCAGGCGAAGCAAAAGAGCGACAAUUCGACAAAGCGGUCCAAAAGACGCAGGGUGUUGAGCUUGGACUUUUUAAUUAGUCGCUUAACCUCCCUUCGAUUUUUAAAAAUUGAAUUUUUUGAUACGGUUCGACCGAUUACAGAAAGGCUUUGUUAUAUUUGUUAGCCCAAACUCAGGGGCGAGAGGAAAAAGGGGAGUGACGGGGCCUUUUUGUAACCAAUCAUAUAUCGUGUCAAAAAGUUCACUUCAAAUUUGGAAACAAAACAAAAAUUUUGAUCAACAUUGGAGAGAAUAUGGGGCACAAGAGUGAUCGUCUAAAUUGUCGAUAUAACAGGAGCGCAAAAAAAUUGUCGAGUUUGCAAAUAUUUAUUUAUUUAUUUAACCCUCCGUUGAUACAUAUGGGUCUGUGGGUUUUUACCCCUGCCUAAAAAAAUGUAUGCGAGAAGAGGAACUCGGACACCAAUCAGCAACCUUGGCCCACAGCCCACAGUUCGAUAGUGGCGAGCCAUCAAGCUAUUUAUAUCGGUAGUGGACACUGUAGACCCAUGUGUGUCUGGGGAAGUAUAAAGAUUUUUGAAACGAGUCUAGGUAUGGGAAAACACGGUAGAACACUGUAGACCCAUGUGUAUCUAGGAGGUGCGGGAGAAAUAUGUGUCAACGGAGGGUUAAUUCCUACGUGUGGCGAUGAAAAUGUUCGGCCCUUCACUUCGGAUAGUUUUAUUCACCAACUUACCUCAAUAGCACAUGAGAUUGACUAUAUUAAUCGAAGUUUUUUGCACAGUAUACUCAUGAUAAUUAUUUCCCGGAACAGAUAUUUGUUUCACCAUGGGAAUCAAUAUAUACACGAUUUCCACAAAAUAUAUAUGAUAUUAACGAAUUAUUGUAGUAUACAAAUCGAAUAAAACAUUUUUCUCUAUUUGCAUAUA